rnacentral:snoRNA from 1 species
GAGACUAUACUUUCAGGGAUCAUUUCUAUAGUAUCCAACUAGAGAAAUGCACUCGUAAGUGAUCAGCUGAGAUUCUCAGA